AGCAGUAGCCACGGGAAUACAGAGGGUGCGAGCGUUAAUCGGAUUUACUGGGCGUAAAGCGUGCGUAGGCGGCUUUUUAAGUCGGAUGUGAAAUCCCUGAGCUUAACUUAGGAAUUGCAUUCGAUACUGGGAAGCUAGAGUAUGGGAGAGGAUGGUAGAAUUCCAGGUGUAGCGGUGAAAUGCGUAGAGAUCUGGAGGAAUACCGAUGGCGAAGGCAGCCAUCUGGCCUAAUACUGACGCUGAGGUACGAAAGCAUGGGGAGCAAACAGGAUUAGAUACCCCCGUAGUCCCUGUCUCUUAUAU
rnacentral:rRNA from 1 species